rnacentral:rRNA from 1 species
UACGGAGGGAGCUAGCGUUGUUCGGAAUUACUGGGCGUAAAGCGCGCGUAGGCGGCUUGUAAGUUAGAGGUGAAAGCCCGGGGCUCAACCCCGGAACUGCCUUUAAAACUGCAUCGCUUGAAUCCAGGAGAGGUGAGUGGAAUUCCGGAGUGUAGAGGUGAAAAUUCGUAGAUAUUCGGAAGAACACCAGUGGCGAAGGCGGCUCACUGGACUGGUAUUGACGCUGAGGUGGCGAAAGCGUGGGGAGCAAACAGGG